UAACGUUCAUUUAUCUCAUUAUAG
rnacentral:piRNA from 1 species